rnacentral:scRNA from 1 species
GUGGUGUCGGAUGAUGAAGGGGGGCAGUGAUG